UACUGAUGUGCACUUUUUCUCCUGUUCUCAGUGUUUUAGGAAGAAGAUCCUUCAUUUAAUUAUAUUCCAGACAAUACAUGGUCUCAGUUGCCAUCAUAGGUGGUAAUGGGUGAAAACUAGAAAAGUAUAAAACAGGAAACCACUUAGGCUUCUGAGUCAAGGAGAAAACCUGUCAAGACAGCGGUACAGUCGGGAGCUUGGAAAAGAGGCCGUGCUCUUCAAACUGGAGACAUAAUAAUAGGCUUCAAGACGAAGGCAUCAGAGUCACUGCCAGUGGACGUGUCCCAUGAUGAAUUUUGGAGUAUACACCAGGGGUUGCGAGAACAACUGAGCUAGAAUUCUCCUGUGCCUGUUACCAGAUCCUAGGCUUUUUCUGAGAAAGGAAACAUCAAAGACUGGACAAUGGCACCCGAGCUCGUGUUGCCUGAGUCCCAGG